rnacentral:rRNA from 1 species
CUGAAACUCGCCUACGUGAAGGCGGAAUCGCUAGUAAUCGCGGAUCAGCACGCCGCGGUGAAUACGUUCCCGGGCCUUGUACACACCGCCCGUCACACCAUGGGAGUUGGUCUUACCCGACGGCGCUGCGCCAACCGCAAGGAGGCAGGCGACCACGGUAGGGUCAGCGACUGGGGUGAAGUCGGAACAAGGUAGCCGUACUGGAAG